UGAAUAUGGAAAAAAAAAUAUAAUCACGAUUAUUUUGGUCAAUUUUGAAAUCCCCAUAAUUUAACACGAUUACUCGUUGACUUCUGGAAAGAAGUUUCAAUUAUUGAACU